ACGGCACUAAAUUGGAGGCGUUUGCCAACCGGGUCGCCUAAUCCUGAGGAGCUCCAAGGGAAAAGAAGGGACGUGCUGAAAAUGUAGUUGGACGCGCGGCCAGGGUUCGGAAUUAAGCCUCUAAUUUUAGAUUAGAUUUUACAAGUUCCUCGUCGGAUGUGGUUGAAACUGCAGCCAGAAUGGAAAAAUCGCUAGCGGCGAAAACCAGCGCGAGACCGCACGGAGCCAAUUGGUCCGGAGGAUGGCGCAGCGUCCGCGUAAGAGGGGCCGGAGGCAGUGCGUCGGUGGA